rnacentral:rRNA from 1 species
UGGGGAAUAUUGCACAAUGGGCGCAAGCCUGAUGCAGCCAUGCCGCGUGUAUGAAGAAGGCCUUCGGGUUGUAAAGUACUUUCAGCGGGGAGGAAGGGAGUAAAGUUAAUACCUUUGCUCAUUGACGUUACCCGCAGAAGAAGCACCGGCUAACUCCGUGCCAGCAGCCGCGGUAAUACGGAGGGUGCAAGCGUUAAUCGGAAUUACUGGGCGUAAAGCGCACGCAGGCGGUUUGUUAAGUCAGAUGUGAAAUCCCCGGGCUCAACCUGGGAACUGCAGCUGAUACUGGCAAGCUUGAGUCUCGUAGAGGGGGGUAGAAUUCCAGGUGUAGCGGUGAAAUGCGUAGAGAUCUGGAGGAAUACCGGUGGCGAAGGCGGCCCCCUGGACGAAGACUGACGAUCAGGUGCGAAAGCGUGGGGAGCAAACAGG